AAGAGGAGAGGACGGCUGGCAUUUAAACAAAUAUGGCGCUAUCAAAUCUGGGGGGGGUUAAUAGACACCGAUAAUGUCAUUUUUCACAGAGACUGGACUACAAAAUAUACUUUGGGGAAGCCUAUGUGUUUACUUUGUAACGACGUAAAUGCUGUUUGAAUGACUAUAAUCAGCGGAGGCACUUUCACAUGAAACAACACAACUUUGACGCAGUUCAACCCUCACAUUCCACUUGAUUAUUGUUGAAAAAUGGGGGUUUAUGGAUUUUUACAUUUGGACCCGUGAUUUUGGACUUCAUUGGCUUGCUGCAGACGCAUGCUGGCACGAGGAAGUGAACAUCACCAUGGUGACAAACUUGAUGAGCUCAGGCACAGUGGUGAAACUCUGAGGUAUGCCUGGAAAGGACACAGACAAGACGACAUGACAACAUCACUGCAAGACAUUUUUACAGCAGCCGUCUUUGCGGCGUGACCGAUGAUGAUGACGACCCGUCCACCGUAGUUCUGGAGGAUCCCCGUCGCGGGACACUGCAGCACCUCAUCAUUGGCACCGAACGUUGCACUGUAGGGGAUGUUGAUGCUGCCGGACAUGUGACCUCUGCUGAAGCUGGUGGCCGUGAGGUUAAAGAGCGCAGAUUAACUGAUAUUCCAGUCAAACCUACGUCCGGGAUGAAGCCGAUCUCGUUGAGGUGGUUGCUGAGCUCAGGGUCGUGGAAGGCGAUCAUUUGGGAGAAGACUGUCAAGUACUCUGGGGGGGGGGGGAGAGAGGAAGCAAGCAUCAUCUACUGCUGACUACACUUUAUUGUAUGGCUGGGUGCCAGUCACACAAAUAUCCAAUCUAAAAUCACUGUUAAUGGUUCUGUUGUGGACAUGGCGGAACAUUAUUUCUUUACUUUUUUACAUUUCAUCAUGUCCGAAAAGUAGUAGGAAGAAGCAGAGCUUAUUUGAUGCUACCACCCGAUGCCUCUACAAUUACUUAUAGUGGGCUCACUUCCUGUGUUUAUAUGUUGGGAAGAAAAAAGAAAUUGAGAACGUGUAACAAUACAGUAGAUAACUUAUGUUGUCACAAAAUAGGUAAAAACAGUAGAGUAGUAGUCAAGUAUAUGAAAAACAUUUUAAAAUACUUUUUUUUAAUAGGAGGGACACAAUACGAAAGAAAGAUAAAUUAAGGGAAAUGCCCUGUGAUUGGCUGGCGAAUAGUCUAGGGCAGGGGUGGGCAAACUACGGCCCGGGGGCCACAUCCGGCCCGCCAAGUGUUUGAAUACGGCCCGCCGUUUUUUUCCAAAGUAUUUAAUUUAAACGUACAACCUGGCGUCAUGGCUUGAGCCAACCUUUUGAUGGUCGACGUAGCUUUUUUUUUUUUAUAUCAAUAUAGUUAUUUGGUCUGUUUACAAAGUGCUCCUGAAAAAAGGGGCACAUGCACAUAUAGCAGAUUGCAUGACACUUUUAUAGAUACAAUAAUUCCAGAUGGACUGUUAGAAUUAUAUGUGUAAAAUAUAUAGUCUGCCCCCCCCGUCAAUUUCCCUAAAUCAAUUUGGCCCGCGAAUCAAAAAGUUUGCCCACCCGUGGUCUAGGGUGUACCCCGCCUCUCCAGCACCCCCCGUGACCCUUGUGAGGAAAAGCGGUAGAAAAUGAAUGAAUGAAUGAAUGAAAGUGACAAAUAUUGUAUAAUGCGAAUAUGUAUAAUACGUCUUUAAUAGGACUUGUCUAUACAGUGUAUCCAUACAUUUGAUCCAGUAUGAGGUUGGCACAUAAGUGUCAAUUAUGAGCAAGAAUUGGAGUAGCAACAGUAGCAGCCAUUUUAUUUGCCAACUUAGAAUUUAACAUUUGUUUAUGUUGUCUUGAAAUAAUCAACAUUAAAGCUCUGACCAGACAGAUAAACAUAAGCUGACUCUAAAGGCCACCUAAGAGUGCAGAGAUGAUAAUAGCGCUGUUCGUAGCUUUUUAUCAGUCACGCAGGAACCGUUUGGGACUUUUUUUUUUUUGCUGUUUCAUUUAUUUCCCUAUCGCUACAUGAGGCGCCUCGGCUGCAGAAUCCAUUAAGAAAGAUUUAAAUUCGUUUUCACAGCUUAGAAACAACACGGAGCCAAAAAAAUGUAAUCAACACUGAGCAGCUGGCCCGUUGCUCUGCUCCAGAUGAUGAUAAUUUGCUUUUGAACUGUGCUCCUCACCCUACAUUUGCAUUUUUCUCCCUCAGCUUGCUGGAGCAGCCCAACAACAUAACACAAGGAUGCGGCGGAGGGAAACCAUAAUGUAAAGAAAACAAUCUCCAAAGGCCUUGAGAUGAGUAUCACGGCAAAAACACAGGAAUAGAGAUGAUUCUUUUUGUCCAUCUCACCUUGGAUGACGUGCGAGUUGUCUUUCAAGAAGAAGUUGUAGAGGUAUUUUGGAAUGAAGGCGGACAUACAAGAGUAUGCCAAAGCUGGGAGGAGUACAAGGAUUAACAAAACGACAUGAGACAAACACACACAUUGUACAAUAGUUAGCAAAAAGAUAGCAACAAGUUUAGAAUCUUACCCUCAUUGUCAAAAUUCAAGUAAAGAAACGGGGCGCAAAGUGAAUCCAAACCUGGGAGGGUGGGACAAAACAUUUUACAAUCUACAAUAUUGACGAUUGCACAAUAAAUUCUAGUUUAUAUACACUACAUUUUUAGCUAAUGUCAAAAUCCUCAUGCUGACACACAAUUGCAACAAUCUUUGUACUUUUAGAAAAAAAAAUAUUUUAUAGCUGUCUUCGAGUGCGAGGCAAGGUACACCCUGGACUGGUGGCCAGCCAAUCACAGGGCACAUAUAUACAAACAACCAUUCACACUCACAUUCAUACCUAUGGACAAUUUGGAGUCGCCAAUUAACCUAGCAUGUUUUUGGAAUGUGGGAGGAAACCGGAGUACCCGGAGAAAACCCACGCAUGCACGGAGAGAACAUGCAAACUCUACACAGAGAUGGCCGAGGGUAGAAUCAAACUUGGAUCUCCUAGCUGUGAGGCCAGUGUGCUAACCACUUGAUACCGUGCAGCUCUAAAUGGCAAUUCAUUCAUUCAUUUUCUACCGCUUUUCCUCACGGGCGUCGUGGGGGUGCUGGAGCCUAUCCCAGCUGUCUUCGGGUGCGAGGCAAGGUACAGCCAUGACUGGUGGCCAGCCAAUCACAGGGCACAUAUAGACAAACAACCAUUCACACUCACAUUCAUACCUAUGGAAAAUUUGGAGUCGCCAAUUAACCUAGCAUGUUUUUGGAAUGUGGGAGGAAACCGGAGUACCCGGAGAAAACCCACGCAUGCACGGGGAGAACAUGGAAACUCCACACAGAGAUGGCCGAGGGUGGAAUCAAACUCAGAUCUCCUAGCUGUGAGGCCUUCGUGCUCACCACUUGUGUCGCUCAAAAUGGCAAUAUGAAUUUUAAAAAAUCCAGUUUAAUAUAUUACAAAUUGUAGACCAAAAAAAUGGAGAGAAGGGAGAAACCAUCAGUUAACAUGGAGUUUGUGCUUACUUGGCUAAUGCAAACCAGUACAGGAUUGCCCCCUUGUGGCCAACCAGGCACAGCACACAAUGUGUAAGCACAGGUGCAACAAGGUUGCAACUGCUGAGUAAACAAAACUGAAGAGGAGCUAAAGAUAAAGUAAGAUGAUGACGUGUAUCAGGCUCAGACUGACCCUGCCAGUAGACAAGGUCGGGAUGAGAGACCACCCAGGCUUUCAAUACCCGCCUGAACUUAACGUGACCCUGUGGAGACGACAGCAGCUCAUCAUACUGGUGGCACCGCGGGAUGUCCACUUCGAUCUGUGGGGCGACAAUAUGCUCUAAAAGUAAACACCCCAACUCGGUCAUUUAGCGUUCAACUAGCUGUUACCUGUCUGUCAGUUGGAAUGGGCGUAUCCUUGUCUAUGCUUUCGUAUUUGGCCUGAAUGUCCCCCUGCAUGGAGGAAACAACCCAUUCUCAUACAGACCUGAGAGUGUUUUGACAUUGACAUGUAAAGUGCAUACUUUUAUACCUCAAUGCCCAGCAGUGCAGCCCAUGCCAGCCCACGUACAAGAGGCGGAAUAUCCACCCUGGCUUCUUUGCACACAAGGUUCUUCUUGUAAGGAUACGCCUAACAACACAUUUGAAAACAAGAUACUUUUAAACUAAUGACGACAUACUCCCUUUAAAACUGUGUAUUAUAAUAUCAA